rnacentral:ncRNA from 2 species
UUCAACUUCAUACAAACACCUUAUAUAUCUAUGGAAAUAGGGUCCAUAAGUCUCUACCUGGCAACCGUAAAUUGCCGGACUAUAAGGAAAGUCUGCAUAUAA